rnacentral:rRNA from 1 species
UACGUAGGGUGCAAGCGUUAAUCGGAAUUACUGGGCGUAAAGCGUGCGCAGGCGGUUUUGUAAGUCUGUCGUGAAAUCCCCGGGCUCAACCUGGGAAUUGCGAUGGAGACUGCAAGGCUAGAAUCUGGCAGAGGGGGGGUAGAAUUCCACGUGUAGCAGUGAAAUGCGUAGAGAUGUGGAGGAACACCGAUGGCGAAGGCAGCCCCCCUGGGUCAAGAUUGACGCUCAUGCACGAAAGCGUGGGGAGCAAACAGU